rnacentral:rRNA from 1 species
CGGAAAAUCAAGGCUGAGGCGUGACGACGAGGCACUACGGUGCUGAAGCAACAAAUGCCCUGCUUCCAGGAAAAGCCUCUAAGCAUCAGGUAACAUCAAAUCGUACCCCAAACCGACACAGGUGGUCAGGUAGAGAAUACCAAGGCGCUUGAGAGAACUCGGGUGAAGGAACUAGGCAAAAUGGUGCCGUAACUUCGGGAGAAGGCACGCUGACACGUAGGUGAAGUGAUUUACUCAUGGAGCUGAAGUCAGUCGAAGAUACCAGCUGGCUGCAACUGUUUAUUAAAAACACAGCACUGUGCAAACACGAAAGUGGACGUAUACGGUGUGACGCCUGCCCGGUGCCGGAAGGUUAAUUGAUGGGGUCAGCGCAAGCGAAGCUCCUGAUCGAAGCCCCGGUAAACGGCGGCCGUAACUAUAACGGUCCUAAGGUAGCGAAAUUCCUUGUCGGGUAAGUUCCGACCUGCACGAAUGGCGUAAUGAUGGCCAGGCUGUCUCCACCCGAGACUCAGUGAAAUUGAACUCGCUGUGAAGAUGCAGUGUACCCGCGGCAAGACGGAAAGACCCCGUGAACCUUUACUAUAGCUUGACACUGAACAUUGAGCCUUGAUGUGUAGGAUAGGUGGGAGGCUUUGAAGCGUGGACGCCAGUCUGCGUGGAGCCGACCUUGAAAUACCACCCUUUAAUGUUUGAUGUUCUAACGUGGACCCGUUACCCGGGUUGCGGACAGUGUCUGGUGGGUAGUUUGACUGGGGCGGUCUCCUCCUAAAGAGUAACGGAGGAGCACGAAGGUUGGCUAAUCCUGGUCGGACAUCAGGAGGUUAGUGCAAUGGCAUAAGCCAGCUUGACUGCGAGCGUGACGGCGCGAGCAGGUGCGAAAGCAGGUCAUAGUGAUCCGGUGGUUCUGAAUGGAAGGGCCAUCGCUCAACGGAUAAAAGGUACUCCGGGGAUAACAGGCUGAUACCGCCCAAGAGUUCAUAUCGACGGCGGUGUUUGGCACCUCGAUGUCGGCUCAUCACAUCCUGGGGCUGAAGUAGGUCCCAAGGGUAUGGCUGUUCGCCAUUUAAAGUGGUACGCGAGCUGGGUUUAGAACGUCGUGAGACAGUUCGGUCCCUAUCUGCCGUGGGCGCUGGAGAACUGAGGGGGGCUGCUCCUAGUACGAGAGGACCGGAGUGGACGCAUCACUGGUGUUCGGGUUGUCAUGCCAAUGGCACUGCCCGGUAGCUAAAUGCGGAAGAGAUAAGUGCUG